rnacentral:misc_RNA from 1 species
CUGAAUGGCCGUCUGGCCUUCAACCUUGUAAACCUGUGGAAGCAAGAUGUGCUUCGGCGCUUCGGCGUCGCUUUUAUGCUUAAAUCAGUCUUUGUGUCUGAAUCAAAUACAAGAAAUA